rnacentral:antisense_RNA from 1 species
ACACAGAAAGGAGUGACCUCUCCAACCUUCCGUGAUUCAUCAGGACACUGCAGAGUGACAGUGGGAACUCCAGAGAUUAAACAUGGAGGUGAGGCUGGCCAGGGAUCACAAGAGGCCCAACACCCAGACAGUACAGAACCUGGGUGGGCACCUCAUCCGUUUUGUCAUCCACAGACCAGAGGCUUCUGCACUUCUGAUGACUCCAUCCAGAUCUCCAGCUUGUCCUGUGGACCCAUCCAUCCAGAAGCAGACUCGGCACACACAAGGACCAUUUUCCACACCCCUAUGAUUGCACCCCAUCCAAUCAGCAGCACCCACUCCCUAGUCCCCAGCUCCCUCCAGAUUAUCCUUGAAAAACCCUAGCCUCUGAAUUUUGGGGGAGAUUGACUUAAGUAAUAAAAUUCCAGUCUCCCACUUAGCCAGCUCUGUGUGAAUUAAACUCUUUCUCUAUUGCAAUUCCCAUCUUGAUGAGUCAACUGAGGUAAAGGGCAGCCUGGCUGAAGGUCAACAGCAGGGCUUUUUAAUCAGAUCCAUGCUGCCCCAAAAUAAUGAAACCCCGGAUCAGCUUCUUUUCCAAAUCUCGAGAAUACAGGCUCCUGGGCCGUGAAAUACAAUUUGAAAACGUUUCUCUUCUAACAAAGAGUGCAAUGUCUUGAGUACUUUAACAUACUGUUUUCUGAAAUCUCACUGUUUGCUGGUAGGUAUCAAUGGCUUUGGUGUGGGGCGUCUGAUAUGUCUAUAUAAAGAAUCCCAUGCUGCCCCAGGAAAAAGCACAUAUAUCCAAGUUUUUGUUUGAUUUUGUAAGUUUAUUGUACAAGAUCAUAUUUUUGUUUUAAUAAAGAACAAAAAUGAAGUUUCAA